UGCAAACUUUUUUUGAUGUCC
rnacentral:piRNA from 1 species